AUUCCAGCUCCAAUAGCGUAUAUUAAAGUUGUUGCAGUUAAAAAGCUCGUAGUUGGAUUUCAGUCUUAAUUCGUCUGGCCCGCUCCCUUGAGGAGCCGAGUGCCGGUUGCGAAUUGGACUUCCUUCUAGCAUGAAUCUCCUACCGUUAUGCGGCCGGGAAGGACAUCUGGAUCAUUUACUUUGAAGAAAUUAGAGUGUUCAAAGCAAGCUUACGCUGUGAAUAUAUUAGCAUGGAAUAAUAACAUAGGACUCGGGUUCUAUUUUGUUGGUUUCUAGGACUCAAGUAAUGAUUGAUAGGGACAGUUGGGGGUGCUGCUAUUAUAUGGCCAGAGGUGAAAUUCACGGAUUCAUAUAAGAGCAACUUAUGCGAAAGCAUUCACCAAGGAUGUCUUCAUCG
rnacentral:rRNA from 1 species